rnacentral:tRNA from 1 species
GUGGACGUGCCGGAGUGGUUAUCGGGCAUGCCUAGAAAGCAUGUGAGUUUUACUCGCGCAGGUUCGAAUCCUGCCGUCCACG